rnacentral:lncRNA from 1 species
GAAAUUAUGUGCACACACAUGUACAUAUAGAUGUACAUAUAAAAAUAGUGUCUUAUUAUAAAAUGGGCUUAGAUUAAGUUUUAGACUCGCCAUGGCUACGAAGUGGUUGCUCGACUAAUCGGCCGUCCUAAAUCGCCUGGCCAAGAUACGAAUCAUAAAACCUUUUGUGGUGUCGUGGUGUUAUAAAAGUUUCGUCAUUGCCCAAAAUAUUUAAUUUUUUUAUUACGUAUUUAUAUACGUAAUAUCCGUCUUUUAUUUGUGGAGGCCUCAAAAAUCGACGGUAAUCUUUUCAUUGGCCAAGAAUAUUUAUUUUGAAAUAAAAUAGAUAAAUUUGAGAAAAUAAAGUCCGUCUUUUGUAAUGGGGUGGCCUCAAAAAUCCGACGGAAAGAUAUUUUCAUCGGCCAUGUGUUGACUUUUGAUAUAAAAUAAUGAAUUUGACAAAAUAAAAUUCGUCUUUUGUCACGGGAUGGCCUCAAAUAUCUGAUGGAAAGAUAAUUUCAUCGGCCAAAGUAUUUAUUUUGAGUAUAUGUAUAUGUUUUUGAGAAAAAGAAAAAGAUGAGCAAAUUUUGUGUUUGAAGGAGAGGAGAAAGAGGUGAAAAAUAUGUGUGGAUUUUUUGAGAGAGAGGAAGAAUAAAAGUGUGUGUGGAAAUGUCUUCCGUGUGUGGAAAUGUCUUCCCAUCACUCUUAUUUAUA